CGGUUCUUCCGGUCGUCGUCUCGGAAACCGGUCGUGUGCUUCCGGUCGCGAUGCUAAGUGCGCUAACGCUAGCGGGCUGCUGGGAGUUUCCAGCUCAAAUGUAAGAUUGAAAUAAACAAAGAGAAACAUCGAUGUCCGUCAGUCGACGCUGUUUGGACAGAGUCCUCUCGAUCGUUCUUCUGCUGGUGGUUCUGCUCUCAUGGGGAUUUGUCAUCUACGGCACACGAAUCGCCGCACAAUGGGAGCUCGAGAAACGAGAAAA